AGGAACAGGCUGCAAGCAGCUCUGUGGCACUCCUUCAAUCAGCCAGCCUCGGCAUUUCCACCUCAGAACUCAGAAAACACAGAUGGAGUUGAUUCUCACAUGACUGAAAAGCUAUUCUCAAGCCAGGUCGGAGACCACCAGGUUCCCUGUCCUCACUGAUUAGAAGACUUGGCCAGCAGCCAGGUAUCGACAUGGCUUCUGCAAUGACCACGUCCAGAGAGCAGUGCUUUGUUACAAAUGCAGCACAUCAGUGACGCCCAUGGCACCUUGAAACCCUUGGCUCCACGGGACUGAGACCAGGUUCCUGGCAUCAUCACAUCUGUCCAGUCUACACCACAGCAGCACAACUACUGCUGUUGUCACUGUUUUACUGAUAAGGACACUGAGGUCUGGAGAGGUGAGGCCAGGAGAGAACGCAACUCCAGAUGGCCACCUCAUUCCCCUGGGAAGCCAGUGUGAGCUGAGUUAGAAGGCUUCUGGGAAGAUGCCGAGAAGAGCAAGAAUGUGUCCUUGGGACCAAGACCUGCUCUGCUGACUUGCUGGUGAGAAGGCUUUGUUCCUGGAAUGGUGAUGAGCUAAUCUUGCCUCUUUGAGUCUGAAGAGGAGUUUGUAGCCACUGUAUCAGGGUGCAGCACACAGAAUGCAUUGCCACCUCUGGUCCAGGGUCUUCGCUCCUCUGAACACUUCGCCGUCCACACGGCUCAAGCAUUCACUUUAUGCGGUCCCUGCUCAAAUACCACCCCCUCGGCAUAACCUUUACCAUCCUGUAUAAAAUAAUAUCCUUUCCAUCACCCUGUAUCCCCUUGCCUUGCUCCAUAUUCCUUCCCCAAGUAUCACCAUACUUCGCACAGUACGCAUUUCUAUGUUGUCUUUCCUCCUCCGCCAGGAGGUAAAGCCCAUGAAGGCAGGGACUGUGUCUGUCUUGUUCCCUGUUGAUCACCCAGAACAGCACCCAGCUCAUAGCAGACACCAGUGCAAAUUGGCGGCAGGUCAGGUGUAAAAAGUGUCCUGACUUCACCUCAACCUCUGUCUUCAUUCCUGUGAUUACACCUUAACUUUUUUUUUUUUUUUUUUUUUUUAGUCUUUUUUUCUAAUCAUUACUCUUAAUCGUGGGAUCUGUAACCAUUUUGGAAGUGGAUUUGGUGUGAUUAAAUUCUUUCCUAGCCUAAUCCUUUAUGGAAAACAAAAGUUUUACAUAAAGUGAAUUAGAAUGGAUUUGCUGGUGUUUGAUAGCCUGCUCGAUAAUUUACCCAGCUCACUUCAACCUCAGGGCUGGGCAGCAUCCUGAAGGAUACCUGCUGGAUCUUCCUGCAACGGAGGAGAGAAGAUCCCUGUUUUUACAGAAUGCCUGUGACUGAAGGGGCCAAGGCCCUGGAGGAGGGGGUCCAGAAGCCCGUGCACCGCAUUGUGCAGCUAGCACCAGUCCUCCGGGUGAGGCUGGGAUGGCGGGCAUCACACUCCCUGGCUUCUGUGUUUCUCCCAGAGUCCCCAUGACCACAGCUUCACAAACGCAAGGGAGGGUGUGCAGGGCUUGGGCACAGGGAGAGUUUGUCGGGGAACCUUGGUAGCCCGACUGCGGGGAUGAGUCAGGGUCCCUCGGGGAGGAGGAGGGGAGUCACCUGCAUCCCUGGCGCAUCUGCCAUGGAGGCUCCAGCCCAUGGAGGCUGAGCGCACCCCGGCCCAGUACAGAAUCUGGGGGUAUCACGAUAGCCUGAAACACUGUUUCCAAGAGUAUAACGUAGAAAAGAAAGCUUUCUACCCAAAUUGGAAACCAAAAGGCACUGGUACUUUGUAGGGUCACCCCAUUGACUUGGAAUGCUCUGUGGGAGACCUUGUUCUUGGCGACACCACAAGUGACCAGCCUCUGUAACCCCAAUAACACAUGCUUGGACCUGCCAGGCCCUGUGGGCCAAGCCGGGGUAGAACCUGGUUCUUACCCAGAUAUUUGGUAACUCUUGGAAGAUGGGAUUUUCUUCUUCAGCUGAUUUGAUGGUUAACUUAUCAUGUGUGGAAUUGGUAGCUUUUGAGGGAGACCUAUAUCUGAGGCACUAUGUGUGGAGGCAGCAGGGUUUCUUCCCCCACACAGGUGUUCUUUUUUUUUGUGUGUGUCCUUUUAGGGCCGCUUUCCGUGGCAUAUGGAGGUUCCCAGGCUAGGGGUUGAAUCGGAGCUGUAGCCACCAGCCUACGCCAGAGCCACAGCAACGUGGGAGCUGAGCCGCGUCUGUGACCUACACCACAGCUCAUGGCAGCGCUGGAUCCUUAACCCACUGAGCAAGGCCAGGGAUCGAACUCACAACCUCAUGGUUUCUAGUCGGAUUCGUUAACCACUGAGCCAUGAUGGGAACUCUAGGCAAGUGUUCUGAUGAGGGUUUAGGUCACAUCCUUGGGACUCACGGCUGCCCUGUGUCUUCUUUCCUAUGGGCCUGGACCGCAUGUUUCCCGAGACUGCCGGCUGCCUGGUAGCCUUCAUGAAGGAUUCUGUCUGGGAGACCUUAAUGUUCCUCUUCCAUCAUGAAGAACCAAGCUCCGCUCCGACGAAAAUGGUGACUUGGGGUAAAACGCAUGCCUGAAAGCCCUCUUCCUCUUUCAGAAUGGUAUGUCAGUGUGGCCCGGGCCUUGGAGAGAUGCCAGCUCAGCCUCAGGUUGGCCCACCACAGGGGCUGCCCUUUCAUGGUAAGACCCUCGGUUCACACCCCCUCCUCGCUUGCACAGUUUGGAGGCUACUGCAGUCACAUGCCCCUCAACCCCAAGAGCGGAAACCCAGAGUCAUCCCUCAACCCAAGACUUAACAACAGCGAACACAGGUGGAGCCCAUUCUUAUGCUGGACGCAUUGCCAAGGGGGUUGCCUCACUCCAUACUCACCCCUGGUCCUGCCCAAGAAGCCCUCAUCGGUCACAGCUUUUGCCCUUGGUCAGCAGCAGGGCUGGGAUUUCAAGCCCCAUGGGUGUGAUGCUGGAGGCUGUGCUCUUAGCUAGCCUGCCAUUCUUCCCAGGGGGCCUGUCUGAUGAUUCAUUUCUUAUUCUACACCCAGAGACAGUGAGGCGUAAACCAGAAUAAAAGGGGGCUAUUAUGAUACCACUAUUUGCCGUUUAUCUAAAUUGGAUAAUAAAUCACAGAGCUACUUGAAACAAUGUACGUGUCAACCUCCUGAACAUGUAGUUAUCACUUAGUGCCAUUUGAUGGUGCCUGUGGUGUAAUUAACACUUUUGCCUAGAAAACAUGAUAUUUCCGUGAAUGGGAAAAUACAUUGAACCUGGUCCUUCUCUUCCUUGGGGACAGGGCAACAGACUUGUGAUGGUGGCCGGCUGGGAUGGCUUAGGCUGGUGCGUGGACGAGCAGGCAUUGCCAACCCUCUCCAGGCCGGCAUUGUGUCCUGGAAAGGGGGAAGCCUGUCGCCAAAGUAGCAGCAGGCCCAGCUGCGUGAUGCCGCUGAGCCUCAAAUAACUCCAUGCCCAUUCAUCAGCCUCCGCAUAAUCGGGCAUCUGCCACUGGCAUCUCCAGAUGUUCGCCUUUGUCAGACCCUGAUGCGGUUCAGUGUUUUCAUUAAAAGCCUCGUAAAAA
ensembl:lncRNA